AAAAAAAAAAAAAAACCCAAAACCAAAGAAAACGAUUUACGAUUUCUGAUUUCUUCCCCAAAUCCCUUCCAUUCGUUUUCUUCCCCAAAUCCCUGAUUCUGAUUUCUGAAAUCACAUCCCGUAGCCGUAGUCCGGUGAGUCCGUGACUCCCGUCAUCUCUCCCUUCUUCUCCGUUGGUCAUACUCUGAACCCUUCUUCUCCGUUUGUCAAUCGAAGAAAACUCAGAGCAAAAGAGGAAGAGCAGGUCGUCGGAAGUCGUCAGAAGUCGAGAAAGGUUAAUCCCAGGUCGUCGGAAGUCGUCGGAAGUCGGGCUUAGGCAUCGACAGUAGCAAGCAGGUAUAGUAGCAUCUCUUUUAUAUAUUUUUCUGUUCUUCCUUUUUUCGGUCAGAACUCAGAAGACUCUCAAGUCCGGUCCCCGUAGACUUACAGUCGUCGCUUGUGAAGGAAAGGAAGGAGCCAGUACCAAUUAACCGGCAAUCGGAGGUAGAGAACCGGUCGAAACCGAUAUCAGAUCAGUGUUUAGGUCCUUGUUAGUUAAAUAUUAUGGUGGAAUCGGGCUUGAUGUUGAGGAGAUCUCAGAACGUUGGAGGAACUUGUUCGUCGAGCAGCAUUUGCAGCAGUGGGUCUUCGUUGAGUAGCUGCUGAGGUUCAAAGAGAUCGAUCAGAACAUUGGUGGAACUUGUUCGUCGAGCAGCAUCUGCGGCAGUGUGUCUAGCUGUUGCAGAGGUUCAAAGAGAUCGAAGGUUUUGCAAUUAAAUUGAAGAUCAAACUUUUGACUACACAAAUUAUAUCCAAAGGUUAAUCCCUGCAUUCUCUCUCAAUCAGUUUCAAGGCCUAUUGAUUUAGACAAUCUUGAUGACUUGCCUAUAGUAGACUUUGAGCUUGAAAUGGAGAGGCUUGAGCAGACGUACGAGGAACCUGAACCAUCUGACACUGGAGCUGAUGGAGGAUCUACUUCAUAUAGUUUAAUGUCUCCUCAUUGAUCUUUUUUUUUUUUUUUUUUAUCAUUGAUCUUUGGACCUGUUAUAAUGAUACUGAGUUCUUUAGACAUCUUGGAUGAUAUGGAUGGAUGGAUGGAAUUUUUUUUUUUAUA